rnacentral:rRNA from 1 species
UACAGAGGGUGCAAGCGUUGUUCGGAAUUAUUGGGCGUAAAGCGCGUGUAGGCGGCGUGACAAGUCGGGUGUGAAAGCCCUCAGCUCAACUGAGGAAGUGCGCCCGAAGCUGUCGUGCUUGAGUGUCGGAGAGGGUAGCGGAAUUCCCCAAGUAGAGGUGAAAUUCGUAGAUAUGGGGAGGAACACCGGUGGCGAAGGCGGCUACCUGGACGACUACUGACGCUGAGACGCGAAAGCGUGGGGAGCAAACAGG